AUUGAACGCUGGCGGCAGGCCUAACACAUGCAAGUCGAGCGGAUGAAGGGAGCUUGCUCCUGGAUUCAGCGGCGGACGGGUGUGUAAUGCCUAGGAAUCUGCCUGGUAGUGGGGGAUAACGUCCGGAAACGGGCGCUAAUACCGCAUACGUCCUGAGGGAGCAAGUGGGGGAUCUUCGGACCUCACGCUAUCAGAUGAGCCUAGGUCGGAUUAGCUAGUUGGUGGGGUAAAGGCCUACCAAGGCGACGAUCCGUAACUGGUCUGAGAGGAUGAUCAGUCACACUGGAACUGAGACACGGUCCAGACUCCUACGGGAGGCAGCAGUGGGGAAUAUUGGACAAUGGGCGAAAGCCUGAUCCAGCCAUGCCGCGUGUGUGAAGAAGGUCUUCGGAUUGUAAAGCACUUUAAGUUGGGAGGAAGGGCAGUAAGUUAAUACCUUGCUGUUUUGACGUUACCAACAGAAUAAGCACCGGCUAACUUCGUG
rnacentral:rRNA from 1 species